rnacentral:lncRNA from 1 species
CAUCCCUUUUUUCUGCUGCCGUUUGUGUGAUUUUGAGAUAUGAAUUGAACUAUUUAGUUCAUCUAAAAAUUAAAAUAAAUUAACUAACUAUAAAAUAUAAAGACAUUUUAAUAAUAGAGUGAUUUUGAGAUAUGAAUUGAACUAAUAAAUUUUCUAAUAGUAAUUAAUUUGGGAGACUGAGUCAGCCACGCGCUUGUGGACGCAAAAGUGCAUAUAUGAGAAGGUUGAGGGUGGACUCUGACAGAUGCGUUUUCAUUAGCGUUUGUUAUGGCGUCCAAAUCACACUGAAAAGGGCAGUCAUUAACUUUCCCGGAAAAAUGCUAGAGACCAAACACCACGCCCUUCUUCAUUUUGUCUGGGGGCCGGCCUCAACUCCAUUGUUUCUUUCUCGACUGACUAGUGCUCAUCAACCUACUAGAGAUUUCUUAAGAUCAUAUCAAUUCAAUCAACUUCAGGUGUGCUUUAUGUAAUUUAUACUAGCCUAACCUGACUCAAUCCUACAACUAAAAAU